GACGAACGCUGGCGGCGUGCUUAACACAUGCAAGUCGAACGGAAAGGCCCUGCUUGCAGGGUACUCGAGUGGCGAACGGGUGAGUAACACGUGGGUGAUCUGCCCUGCACUUCGGGAUAAGCCUGGGAAACUGGGUCUAAUACCGGAUAGGAGCCAUUUUUAGUGUGAUGGUUGGAAAGUUUUUUCGGUGUAGGAUGAGCUCGCGGCCUAUCAGCUUGUUGGUGGGGUAAUGGCCUACCAAGGCGACGACGGGUAGCCGGCCUGAGAGGGUGGACGGCCACAUUGGGACUGAGAUACGGCCCAGACUCCUACGGGAGGCAGCAGUGGGGAAUAUUGCACAAUGGGCGCAAGCCUGAUGCAGCGACGCCGCGUGGGGGAUGACGGCCUUCGGGUUGUAAACUCCUUUCGCUAGGGACGAAGCUUUUUGUGACGGUACCUAGAUAAGAAGCACCGGCUAACUACGUG
rnacentral:rRNA from 1 species